UGUCUCCUUUUUAUAAAAAUCGGUUUAUGAAUUGCAUUUUUUUUAUUAUUUUGUGGGAUUUUACGGGAUGAACCAAAAGUUGAAUUACUAUGCCUAACUGCGUAGAUCCCACAAAGGGUGUUGGUCAAUUAAGAUAGCAGGACAGUGGUCAUGGAAGUUGAAAUCCAUUAAGAAGUGUGUAAUAACAACUCACUUGUUGAAUCAACUAGCCCUGAAAAUGGAUGGCGCUGAAUUUGCGACCUAUACCUGGCCGUCGUGGCAAGAGCCAGGCCCUGAUGAGUAGGAGGGCGCAGUGGUCGUUGCAAAACCUUGGGCAUGAGCUUGGACGGAGCUAUCGUCGGUG
rnacentral:ncRNA from 1 species